rnacentral:tRNA from 1 species
UCAGAUGGGGCUGGUUAGCAUCUUAUUGUGGUUAAGAGGGGCAAAUUUGAA